rnacentral:rRNA from 1 species
CAGCAGCCGCGGGAAUACAGAGGGUGCGAGCGUUAAUCGGAUUUACUGGGCGUAAAGCGUGCGUAGGCGGCUUCUUAAGUCGGAUGUGAAAUCCCUGAGCUUAACUUAGGAAUUGCAUUCGAUACUGGGAAGCUAGAGUAUGGGAGAGGAUGGUAGAAUUCCAGGUGUAGCGGUGAAAUGCGUAGAGAUCUGGAGGAAUACCGAUGGCGAAGGCAGCCAUCUGGCCUAAUACUGACGCUGAGGUACGAAAGCAUGGGGAGCAAACAGGAUUAGAUACCCCCGUAGUCCAUGUCUCUUAUAC